AAUCGACAAAAGCAUCACCAUCCGAGGUAUCAUUUGCAUAAGGCAAUAGGUGUGGAUUUCGCGAGCUCCAGGGGGCUGGUAAUUCACCAGAGAUAGCAAAGGAGAUGGACGUGCACGGCCACGGGAUCCCGGCGACGGUGGCCAGCACGAACUACAUGGGCAUCAACGCGCUCCACGAUGCAGGUGGCUACGGCAACCUGCAAGUGCGUUCAAAAACAGCGUCGUCAUCUAUCUUAUCCAAGCAAGAAGACCAAGAUCACACGAAAGGGAUGGGAGGCCGGUGGGUAGGCAUGGGCGAUUGGUCACAAUACUAGCAACAGAUUUUUAUGAUGGUUUGUUUUCACCAGCGUUUAGCUGCACUUUGACAGUAGACUAUGCGAUAUUUUGUAAUAGAGUUCAGAAACUGGGCAACACACAGUUCCAAAAUUAUGCACUGCAUUAUUACUGAAAUAAAUUUUAUGAUGCAUUA